rnacentral:tmRNA from 3 species
GGGGGCGAAACAGGAUCGACAAGGGUGUAAAGAUCGUCUUUUUGCUCGGCAUUGUACCGCCGUUAUCGGGCUAAAAUUGUAGUUGCAAACGACAACUAUGCGGAAGCUCGUCUCGCUGCUUAAUCGCGGUGUGACACUUCAAUCAAAGUCCUAGUGGUUCGCACCUCUAGGCGGGGUCCGAAGGCACCUGGCAACAGAAGCCUUCACC